ACUUUAUAUGUUAUUUGAAUUUAAUUAAUUUUUAAAAAUUUAAUAUAAUAAAAUAUUUUAUUGGGGCGAUAGAAGUAUAAUUUAUAUUAACUGCUUUAAAUAAAAACAAUAAUAUUUGGUAGUAUUGAUCCUUUAUAAAGAAUAAAAGACUAAGUU
rnacentral:rRNA from 1 species